AACUGAUACUACCUGCGGGAACCUGCGGAGGGAUCAUUACCGAGUGUUGAUUGCUAUGCAAUCGCCUCCCACCCUUGAUUAUUUAUACUGUUGCUUCGGCGAGACGUCUUUUUGGAAAAAAAGCCGUCGACUAUUUGGAUACGACUUCACUGAAGUUUGUAUUUUGUGGGCGUGAGCUCGCCGAAGGUUUUCAAACUCUGAUAAUUUGAUGUCUGAAUUCAAAAAAAAUUGAUUAAAAAC
rnacentral:misc_RNA from 1 species